AACAGGACCGUCAUUCUGCAUAGUGAUCACGUCUUUCAGAGUCAGUGAAGACUAGGGCAUGUGCAUGUCCGUAGGAAUCGGAAUUGCUGGAUUGGAAUUUGCCACCCCUGGCUGUGUGACCUUGGGCAAGGUAUCAAUUCCGUUGUCAACCCUUCCACGUGGCUUGUCACCCAGCCCUGUCCUACCCACACACCCGUAAGAGGACAGAAGUAUACUGCUCAGAUCCUAAAACAUGUACAAAGGUUGCCAAAAGCAGCUCAGAUUGAAGACAAAUUGUG